rnacentral:rRNA from 1 species
AUUGAACGCUGGCGGCAUGCCUUACACAUGCAAGUCGAACGGCAGCACGGGAGCAAUCCUGGUGGCGAGUGGCGAACGGGUGAGUAAUAUAUCGGAACGUGCCCGGUCGUGGGGGAUAACGUAGCGAGAGCUACGCUAAUACCGCAUACGAUCUACGGAUGAAANCGGGGGAUCGCAAGACCUCGCGCGAUUGGAGCGGCCGAUAUCAGAUUAGGUAGUUGGUGAGGUAAAGGCUCACCAAGCCGACGAUCUGUAGCUGGUCUGAGAGGACGACCAGCCACACUGGGACUGAGACACGGCCCAGACUCCUACGGGAGGCAGCAGUGGGGAAUUUUGGACAAUGGGCGCAAGCCUGAUCCAGCAAUGCCGCGUGCAGGAUGAAGGCCUUCGGGUUGUAAACUGCUUUUGUACGGAACGAAACGGUGAGCUCUAAUACAGUUUGCUAAUGACGGUACCGUAAGAAUAAGCACCGGCUAACUACGUG